rnacentral:lncRNA from 1 species
CGAGGGCAACAUCCUUCGAGACCGGUUCAAGAGCUUCCAGAGGAGGAAUAUGAUCGAGCCUCGAGAGAGAGCCAAGUAAGGGGCGGCCGGGGCUGCUGUGGGGCGAGGGCAUCUGGGAUUGGCCCCGGGCACUGAUUGCUCCAUUGUCCCUGCUCCAGGUUCAAACGCAAGUACAAGGUGAAGCUGGUGGAGAAGCGGGCGUUCCGUGAGAUCCAGUUGUAGCUGCCAUCAGAUGCCGGAGACUCGCCCUUCAAUAAAAAAUCUC